AUCGAACUCGAGAAGUGUCACUUCUGGCCUCCAUCUUUUGUUUGGCUGCUCACCACUGGUCGCGUGUGGAAGGUUGGUAAUGUGAGGUGAUAUAGGACACAUAUUCAACUUCGAAAGUGGGUGGAGCUGUUUCUCAAGGGGACUUAUCAUCAAAAUGGGUAAUUUCCCAAACUUGCAGUCUAAUCCAAACUGGUGUGUGAACGGACAUAAGUGGUUGGCUGAUGGAUGUCUUUCCAGUAUUGCAACGCCUGCUACAAGG